ensembl:lncRNA LINC01473 long intergenic non-protein coding RNA 1473
GCAAAGAUGAAGAUGGAAUUCUCUGUCAUCCAUGAAGCACAGUUUUUAAAGUAUCUAGUGUAUAUAAGGACAAGCCAUUCUCAGUCAAGCAUGAAACUGAAUCUGAGGAAAAGAAGAAAGCUGAAAACACACUGAGGAUUAUGGGAGAGGGGCAAGUGCAUGAAGCUUCUCAAUGACAUACAGACACUCUAAAAGCUCAAGAGAUCAAUUAUUCAACUUCAAGAACUGAAAUUUGAACACAGAUUUUGAGCUUCCAAAUCAGCAGCUACACAGGGAUAUUCAUCCAAGCAGAAAGAUAAUACCAGAGUUCCGAACUGGAGGCUGAAUAGCAAAAGGAAGAAAAGCACUUCACAUAAAAUAGACAGGCAUGCUUUCAGGACUAACUAAGCAUGACUGCUGUUAAACUGGCUCACUCCAUAUACUCUGUGCUACAGCAAUUUAAUAUUUCAUUAAAAAGCAUUAAUGAUGGCUCCAGUGAAUUUCUCCUAUUCAAGCUCCAUAAUGACAGCAGUUCAAGCGAGUGUUGAUCUCUGAGUGAUGCAACACAAAAACAUCGCCUAACAAAGGAACACUUGGAGUACUACUCAUAUUCUCUGCAACUUGAGAUUUCUGAACAGUGAAAUGAUAUGAUGGAAAACGUGUUGUAGAACUUUUAGGAAGAUUAAUCUAUCAAUAGUAAGCAAGAUGGAGAGUAAAGAGAAGUAUCUGAGACGAAUGAUAAUUCAAUUGAAGUAAUUCAGAUGAGAAGUGACAAGAGCCUGAACAGAAAUGGAAAGAAAUGGGAAGUUGUAAGAGGCACUGAAAUGGAAAAAUCACUGAUUGGAUAUGGAACAUUAAGAAAGGAGAAAAAGAAGUGUUCUAUAAGAAGUUUGGACAAGACUCUGCAAGAAGUUAAGAGGUCCUUAAAGGCAACUGUGAAUUAACGGAGACUAGUUUUGAGAAAAUCAGUCCUGAUUUGUUUCUCCUGGAGUUUUCUUCUUUAUGUGAUCCUUCAUAAAAGCUGCUAAUAUGGGAAAGAUUGAAAUCAGCAAGUUUCUGGCUGUAAGCUAAAAGAGGCUCUUGAAUCAUAUUUCCGCCUGCUUAGCAAAUUUCUCUUGCGACAAUUGGAUGUUAUUUGGGGUUCCAUACUAGCAGGAAGAAGUACAAGCAAAGCUAAGUCAUUUUGAGAAUAAAUAUUAUCUCUCUAUAUAUUUGUAAAUGUUAUUUUCUUUUUUUUUGAGGUUUAUGAUUGAUCCUUGGCAUGUGUCCCCUUGUGUAUUGCUCUACUAAAAAUAGCCUAAAAAAGAA